rnacentral:rRNA from 1 species
UGAGGAAUAUUGGGCAAUGGGCGCAAGCCUGACCCAGCCAUGCCGCGUGAAGGAUGAAUGCCCUAUGGGUUGUAAACUUCUUUUGUACGGGACGAAACUCCUGGUCGUGACCGGGAUUGACUGUACCGUGCGAAUAAGCAUCGGCUAACUCCGUGCCAGCAGCCGCGGUAAUACGGAGGAUGCAAGCGUUAUCCGGAUUCAUUGGGUUUAAAGGGUGCGUAGGCGGAAUAAUAAGUCAGUGGUGAAAGCCUGCGGCUUAACCGUAGAAUUGCCAUUGAUACUGUUAUUCUUGAGUAUAGUUGAGGUGGGCGGAAUGUGUAAUGUAGCGGUGAAAUGCUUAGAUAUUACACAGAACACCAAUUGCGAAGGCAGCUCACUAAGCUGUUACUGACGCUGAGGCACGAAAGCGUGGGGAGCAAACAGGAUUAGAUACCCUGGUAGUCCACGCUGUAAACGAUGAUCACUCGUUGUUGGCGAUAUACCGUCAGCGACUGAGCGAAAGCAAUAAGUGAUCCACCUGGGGAGUACGGCGGCAACGCUG